rnacentral:lncRNA from 1 species
UUGGUUCCUUUGUCUAUAGCUAUUUUUCUUAUUUCCUUAUGCUGAAUUUAGUUCAUAUAAGUUCAUUAUUUCCAAAGAAACUGCAUGUUUUUGUUAAAUAUUGUGAAAUCAUUCUUGCUUUGCAUCAUAUAUAUACAGAAAGAAAAGGUCUUUUAGAUGUCAAUGUAUGAGACAAAAUUCUUUGUUCGCCAAAAACUUAUGGCACGUCUUGUUUUUUGAGUUCUAAUUUAGGACAAACAAAUCUAUGACCUUGAGGGAAAAAAAGAAGCUCUUAUAUUUAGAUAUCUGAUAAAGUGAUAAUGAGUGAGUUAUUGAGUUGUUUAUUGCAUCCACAGACCCUGAAAUAGAUUCGUGUUUGCACGAGAAAACUUACUGUUGCUCUGAAAAGUUGAGUUUCUAAAUCCAAAGAUGCCAACUUGUGCUAAUAAGGGAUCAUUUUCUGGGUUCACAAUAAGGAAACACUAUAGUAUGGACCUUCUAAUAAAUUUAUGUUUUUGGUCUUAUUAAAUAGAAAUGUCUCAGGCCUUUUCUAGUAAAAUUCCUAAUGCAUGCAUGGUUGGAUGAAUUUCGAUUUUCUUGUCUAUUAAGUUUGUAUUUGCUUCAAGGUCCC